rnacentral:piRNA from 1 species
UCACCAGAAACAAGGAAAACCCUCAACUUC